GCUAAGGUGGUACGCGCGGGUGCGGUAAUUCGAAGGAGUGUGUCGUUUUGCUGAUGUGCUGGGCGUAAAGGGUGCGUAGGCGGUGCGGUAAGUCAGGCGUGAAAGCCCCGGGCUCAACCCGGGAAUAGCGCUUGAUACUGUUGCGCUUGAAUCCAGGAGAGGAUGGCGGAAUUCCCAGUGUAGAGGUGAAAUUCGUAGAUAUUGGGAAGAACACCAGUGGCGAAGGCGGCCAUCUGGCCUGGAAUUGACGCUGAGGCGCGAAAGCGUGGGGAGCAAACAGGAUUAGAUACCCUAGUAGUC
rnacentral:rRNA from 1 species